AGAGUUUGAUUCUGGCUCAGGAUGAACGCUAGCUACAGGCUUAACACAUGCAAGUCGAGGGGCAGCAUGAGAUUAGCUUGCUAAUCUUGAUGGCGACCGGCGCACGGGUGAGUAACGCGUAUCCAACCUUCCCUUAGUAGGGCAUAGCCCGGCGAAAGUCGGAUUAAUACCCUAUGUUUUCCGUCGAGGACAUCUGAAGUGGAACAAAGAUUCAUCGCUAAGGGAUGGGGAUGCGUCUGAUUAGGUAGUAGGCGGGGUAACGGCCCACCUAGCCGACGAUCAGUAGGGGUUCUGAGAGGAAGGUCCCCCACAUUGGAACUGAGACACGGUCCAAACUCCUACGGGAGGCAGCAGUGAGGAAUAUUGGUCAAUGGACGAGAGUCUGAACCAGCCAAGUAGCGUGCAAGGAUGACGGCCCUAUGGGUUGUAAACUGCUUUUAUCAGGGGAUAAAGUGCACCACGUGUGGUGUUUUGUAGGUACCUGAUGAAUAAGGACCGGCUAAUUCCGUGCCAGCAGCUGC
rnacentral:rRNA from 1 species